CGCACAGCGGAGGACAUGUGGUUUAAUUCGAUGAUACGCGAGGAACCUUACCCGGGUUUGAACGCAUUUCGACCGCUCUGGAAACAGAGCCUCUAGCGAUAGCGAUUUGCGAGGUGCUGCAUGGUUGUCGUCAGCUCGUGCCGUGAGGUGUCGGCUUAAGUGCCAUAACGAGCGCAACCCUUGCCACUAGUUACUAACAGGUAAAGCUGAGGACUCUGGUGGGACUGCCAGCGUAAGCUGCGAGGAAGGCGGGGAUGACGUCAAAUCAGCACGGCCCUUACAUCCGGGGCGACACACGUGUUACAAUGGCGUGGACAAAGGGAGGCCACCUGGCGACAGGGAGCGAAUCCCCAAACCACGUCUCAGUUCGGAUCGGAGUCUGCAACCCGACUCCGUGAAGCUGGAUUCGCUAGUAAUCGCGCAUCAGCCAUGGCGCGGUGAAUACGUUCCCGGGCCUUGUUACACACCGCCCGU
rnacentral:rRNA from 1 species